rnacentral:rRNA from 1 species
AUUGAACGCUAGCGGUAGGCCUAACACAUGCCAGUCGAACGAGCGGCGGACUGGUGAGUACUGUCUGGGAAACUGCCCGUAGGAGGGGGAUAACUACUGGAAACGGUAGCUCAUACCGCAUCCCCUCGGAUGUGCCCAGAAGGGAUUAGCUAGUAGGGGGGGUAACGGCACACUACGGCGACGAUCCCUAGCUGGGCUGAGAGGAUGACCGGACACACUGGGACUGAGACACGUUCCAGACUCCUACGGGAGGAAGAAGUGGGGAAUAUUGCACAAUGGGCGCAAGCGUAAUGCAGCCAUGCCGCGUUUAUGAAGAAGGCCUUCGGGUUGUAAAGUACUUUCAGCGAGGAGGCGUUACUCGCAGAAGAAGAAUCGGCUAGCUACGUGCCAGCAGCCGCGAUAAUAC